rnacentral:rRNA from 1 species
GAUGAACGCUGGCGGCGUGCCUAAUACAUGCAAGUCGAGCGAACAGACGAGGAGCUUUCUCCUCUGACGUUAGCGACGGACGGGUGAGUAACACGUGGAUAACCUACCUAUAAGACUGGGAUAACUUCGGGAAACCGGAUCUAAUACCGGAUAAUAUAUUGAACCGCAUGGUUCAAUAGUGAAAGACGGUUUUGCUGUCACUUAUAGAUGGAUCCGCGCCGCAUUAGCUAGUUGGUAAGGUAACGGCUUACCAAGGCAACGAUGCGUAGCCGACCUGAGAGGGUGAUCGGCCACACUGGAACUGAGACACGGUCCAGACUCCUACGGGAGGCAGCAGUAGGGAAUCUUCCGCAAAGGGCGAAAGCUUGACGGAGCAAUGCCGCGUGAGUGAUGAAGGUCUUCGGAUCGUAAAGCUCUGUUAUUUGGGAAGAACAAAAGUAUAAUGAAACAUGGCCGUCUUGACGGUACCUACUCAGAAAGCAACGGCUAACUACGUG